ACGCUCGACACCUACGGGAGGCAGCAGUGGGGAAUAUUGCACAAUGGGGGAAACCCUGAUGCAGCGACGCCGCGUGGAGGAAGAAGGUCUUCGGAUUGUAAACUCCUGUUGUUGGGGAAAAAGAGGAUGGUACCCAACAAGGAAGUGACGGCUAACUACGUGCCGGCAGCUGCGGUAAUCUGAGGCGGGCGUCGGCGAAGGC
rnacentral:rRNA from 1 species